AAAAAAAAGAAAAAAAAAAAAAAACUCCUAUCUCUAAAACCCAUCACUUAGAGGCGAUCAAUUUCUGGGUUUCAAUUUCAUAAUAGAGAAUAAUAUAUUAGAAUUGACCGACUACCCGAUUCUUCAAUACAAAGAUUGGUCUUGAAGGUGUUAAAAUUUUAGAGAGAAUCAGUUAGAUUUUGAGAAGAGAUCAACAAUUUUUGAAUAAAAACUAGCUGAGUUUCAAGAUUCUUCAACAAAAUCAUUAUUUUUCAAAAGAAAAAAAAAAAA
rnacentral:misc_RNA from 1 species